rnacentral:rRNA from 1 species
UACGUAGGUGACAAGCGUUGUCCGGAUUUACUGGGCGUAAAGAGCGCGCAGGCGGUCGUUCAAGUCGAGUGUGAAAGCCCCCGGCUCAACUGGGGAGGGUCAUUCGAUACUGAUCGACUCGAAGGCAGGAGAGGGUAGUGGAAUUCCCGGUGUAGUGGUGAAAUGCGUAGAUAUCGGGAGGAACACCAGUGGCGAAGGCGGUUGCCUGGAGCUUUGCUGACGCUGAUGCGCGAAAGCGUGGGGAGCGAUCCGG